UGAGGCAACUUAUACCUACCUGACUAUGC
rnacentral:piRNA from 1 species